rnacentral:rRNA from 1 species
AGAGUGAACGCUGGCGGCGUGCUUAACACAUGCAAGUCGAGCGGUAAGGCCUUUCGGGGUACACGAGCGGCGACCGGGUGAGUAACACGUGGGUGAUCUGCCCUGCACUCUGGGAUAAGCCUGGGAAACUGGGUCUAAUACCGGAUAUGACCUGCUCUCGCAUGGGGGUGGGUGGAAAGAUUUAUCGGUGCAGGAUGGGCCCGCGGCCUAUCAGCUUGUUGGUGGGGUAAUGGCCUACCAAGGCGACGACGGGUA